GAGGACCCCUAAGACUCUGUUUCUAUAUGUAACUUCUGAGUAAAACCAUANAUAAGCUCAAANCUUUCAACAACGGAUCUCUUGGUUCUGGCAUCGAUGAAGAACGCAGCAAAAUGCGAUAAGUAAUGUGAAUUGCANAAUUNANUGAAUCAUCGAAUCUUUGAACGCNCAUUGCGCCCGCCAGUAUUCUGGCGGGCAUGCCUGUUCGAGCGUCAUUUCAACCCUCAAGCACAGCUUGGUGUUGGGACUCGCGUUAAUUCGCGUUCCUCAAAUUGAUUGGCGGUCACGUCGAGCUUCCAUAGCGUAGUAGUAAAACCCUCGUUACUGGUAAUCGUCGCGGCCACGCCGUUAAACCCCAACUUCUGAAUGUUGACCUCGGAUCAGGUAGGAAUACCCGCUGAACUUAAGCAUAUCAAUAAGCGGAGGAA
rnacentral:rRNA from 1 species